UUUGUUCCUUCUGGAGAACAUGAUGAUGAUUCUGAUUCUCCCAUUCACCUCUCUCCUCCCUCUUCUCCCACAUCUGUGCAGAUGCAUUUUCCUGUCACUGCCCCCAAUGUUUCAACCUUCCCUUCCUCUUUCAAUCAUGUUUUGGCUUCUUCUCCUUCUAUUCCUGCUCCCAGAAAGUCUCAAAGACAGCAUAAUCCUCC
rnacentral:lncRNA from 1 species